AUUGAAACGCUGGCGGCAGGCCUAACACAUGCAAGUCGAACGGUAACAGGAAGAAGCUUGCUUCUUUGCUGACGAGUGGCGGACGGGUGAGUAAUGUCUGGGAAACUGCCUGAUGGAGGGGGAUAACUACUGGAAACGGUAGCUAAUACCGCAUAACGUCGCAAGACCAAAGAGGGGGGACCUUCGGGCCUCUUGCCAUCGGAUGUGCCCAGAUGGGAUUAGCUAGUAGUGGGGUAACGGCUCACCUAGGCGACGGAUCCCCUAGCUGGUCUGAGAGGAUGACCAGCCACACUGGAACUGAGACACGGUCCAGACUCCUACGGGAGGCAGCAGUGGGAAUAUUGCACAAUGGGCGCAAGCCUGAUGCAGCCAUGCCGCGUGUA
rnacentral:rRNA from 1 species